CUUGAUCAUUCUACAUUACAAUGCACUAAUCGUUUCAAUCACACUUUUGUUGGUGAAACAAAUGAUGUUAUUUGGUACUCUGACUUGCUGCGGCCGCUCAUAUGACCCCAUAUGAAGAUAUUUUUCUGCGAAAAUCCCCUUAUAUUGGUCUUGAUUGUGUAUUCGUUGGACAAAGCUAUGGGUCAAACUCUCAAGGAAGAUUCCAGUGAGGGUAGCAUCUUCAUAUGUGUCUUCUCAUUCUCAAACAUGUGUUUCUAUUCGUCAAUCUGGAGAUAUUUGGCAUCAUCGAUUAGGCCAUACUGGAGUUCAAUUUUAGACUGUCUUGGGAAAAAUAAUUACAUUAGCUUGCUCAAUUUUGUUCAUAGUGAUUGUGUCCCUUGUCGGCUCAGAAAAUUACAAUGUGUACCCUUUUAAGUUGGAAGAUCACUGUAGUUCUUCUCCUUGUUCAUUCAGAUGUAUUUUGACAAUCAUUUGUUUAAUCGAACUUGGAAUUUGUUAUUUUUAUUGAUGAUUUUAUCUUAUGAAAAAUAAAUCAGAAGUGUUUUUA